rnacentral:rRNA from 1 species
CCUACGGGAGGCAGCAGUGAGGAAUAUUGGUCAAUGGACGAGAGUCUGAACCAGCCAAGUAGCGUGAAGGAUGACUGCCCUAUGGGUUGUAAACUUCUUUUAUAAAGGAAUAAAACGAGGCACGUGUGCCUUUUUGCAUGUACUUUAUGAAUAAGGAUCGGCUAACUCCGUGCCAGCAGCCGCGGUAAUACGGAGGAUCCGAGCGUUAUACGGAUUGAUUGGGUUUAAAGGGAGCGUAGAUGGGUUGUUAAGUCAGUUGUGAAAGUUUGCGGCUCAACCGUAAAAUUGCAAUUGAUACUGGCAGUCUUGAGUACAGUUGAGGUAGGCGGAAUUCGUGGUGUAGCGGUGAAAUGCGUAGAUAUCACGAAGAACCCCGAUUGCGAAGGCAGCUUACUAACCUGUGACUGACAUUGAUGCUCGAAAGUGUGGGUAUCAAACAGGAUUAGAUACCCGGGUAGUC